rnacentral:rRNA from 1 species
UGGGGGAUAUUGCACAAUGGGGGAAACCCUGAUGCAGCGACGCCGCGUGGGUGAAGAAGCGCCUCGGCGACGUAAAGCCCUGUCAGCAGGGAAGAAAAUGACGGUACCUGAAGAAGAAGCCCCGGCUAACUACGUGCC